GACCAUCUCCUAAGGCUAAAUACUCUCUAGUGACCGAUAGUGAACCAGUACCGUGAGGGAAAGGUGAAAAGCACCCCGGAAGGGGAGUGAAAUAGAACCUGAAACCGUGUGCUUACAAGUAGUCAGAGCCCGUUAAUGGGUGAUGGCGUGCCUUUUGUAGAAUGAACCGGCGAGUUACGAUUUGAUGCAAGGUUAAGCAGUAAAUGUGGAGCCGUAGCGAAAGCGAGUCUGAAUAGGGCGUUUAGUAUUUGGUCGUAGACCCGAAACCAGGUGAUCUACCCUUGGUCAGGUUGAAGUUCAGGUAACACUGAAUGGAGGACCGAACCGACUUACGUUGAAAAGUGAGCGGAUGAACUGAGGGUAGCGGAGAAAUUCCAAUCGAACCUGGAGAUAGCUGGUUCUCUCCGAAAUAGCUUUAGGGCUAGCCUCAAGUGAUGAUUAUUGGAGGUAGAGCACUGUUUGGACGAGGGGCCCCUCUCGGGUUACCGAAUUCAGACAAACUCCGAAUGCCAAUUAAUUUAACUUGGGAGUCAGAACAUGGGUGAUAAGGUCCGUGUUCGAAAGGGAAACAGCCCAGACCACCAGCUAAGGUCCCAAAAUAUAUGUUAAGUGGAAAAGGAUGUGGCGUUGCCCAGACAACUAGGAUGUUGGCUUAGAAGCAGCCAUCAUUUAAAGAGUGCGUAAUAGCUCACUAGUCGAGUGACACUGCGCCGAAAAUGUACCGGGGCUAAACAUAUUACCGAAGCUGUGGAUUGUCCUUUGGACAAUGGUAGGAGAGCGUUCUAAGGGCGUUGAAGCAU
rnacentral:rRNA from 1 species